rnacentral:rRNA from 1 species
AGCAGCCGCGGUAAUUCCAGCUCCAAUAGCGUAUAUUAAAGUUGUUGCAGUUAAAAAGCUCGUAGUUGAAUUUCGGGGUCAGUAGGUUGGUCGUGCCACCGGUACGUACUGGUCUCACUGAUUCCUCCUUCCUGAAGAACCGUAAUGCCAUUAAUUUGGUGUUGCGGGGAAACAGGACUGUUACUUUGAAAAAAUUAGAGUGUUUAAAGCAGGCUAACGCUUGAAUACAUUAGCAUGGAAUAAUGAAAUAGGACGGUCGAUCCUAUUUUGUUGGUUUCUAGGAUUGACGUAAUGAUUAAUAGGGAUAGUUGGGGGCAUUAGUAUUCAAUUGUCAGAGGUGAAAUUCUUGGAUUUAUUGAAGACUAACUACUGCGAAAGCAUUUGCCAAGGAUGUUUUCAUUAAUCAAGAACGAAAGUUAGGGGAUCGAAGACGAUCAGAUACCGUCGUAGUCUUAACCAUAAACUAUGCCGACUAGGGAUCGGAUGAUGUUAAUUUUAUAAUGACUCAUUCGGCGCCUUA